rnacentral:lncRNA from 1 species
CUUUAAGUGAAGGUCUGAGAAGUGAUGAAUAGAGAAAUAAGAUACAUGAAAUCUCACAAACAAGAAGGAGCACCGGGUGUUGUAGGAACUGAGAGAGAGGAAAGGCAGUGGUUGAGGUGGGGAAGCAGGACUUGUAGGGGAAGUACCCAAGUAGGAAUGUACAGGCUCAUUUACAACUGGAGCACAACCUCGCAUAACACAGGCCUAGUCAAAUAUUAAUCAAUAAAUGAUCUGACAAAUAUUACACCUUAUGGGAUAAUUUACAUUCUGAAAGAGGAUACCAGGCCCAGAAAACCUGGGAGAACCAACUGGAAAACAAUAAAAAACAAGAAGAGAAUUCAGAGAAGAGAUGAGUUGCUAAGUAACUAUUUAAAACCAGUAGGCUUUCCUAAACCGUAACUUGUUAGAGGUUAUGGUAAAAGAAAAGAUCUCAUUUAAAAUACAGCAACUGAAAAGAAUCCUAAAGAUCAAUAUAACAAGUAAUUUGCAGGACUUUUAUUAAAAACUCUUUGAUAACCUAUUGGCAGACCUAAAAAUGACUUAACAAAUGGAAAGACACACUAUGGUCUUUGAUAGAAAAAUAUCAUUUCCUCCUAAGUUAAUUUGUACAUUUAAUGAAAUCCCAACUGAAAUAGCAAUUUUUAACUUAACAAAAUAAUAUUAAUGUUUGUUUGUAAAACUAAUUAUGAAGAUGAGUCAGAAAAAGUGUUGAAAAUGAAAAACAGUAAGAACUAGAUGACUGAUACUAAAACUAUUUUAAAGCUCUAAUAAUUAAAAUGGUUUGGCAUUAGGGAAAAAUAGAUCAAUGAAUAAGAAUGAAGAGUUCAUAAAUGAAACCAAAAUCAUACGGGAACUAAGAUAUGAAAUGGCAACACUUUAAAACAGUGAGGAAAAGGCAAUUAAUCAGUAAACAGUGCUAGAUCAAUUGACUGGAGAAAAAAAAUAAAGCUGGAUCCUUACUUCAGUUAUUUUAGUAACAUCAAUUCCAGAUGGAUCAAAAAUUUAAAUGUAGGGCCGGGAGCAGUGGCUCAUGCCUGUAAUCCCAACACUUUGGGAGGCCGAGACGGGGUUUCACCAUAUUGGCCACGAUGGUUUCGAUAUCCUGACCUCGUGAUCCACCCUCCUAGGUCUCCCAAAGUGCUGAGAUUACAGGCAUAAGCCACCACGACCAACCAAUUUUUAAAAUUUUUUUGUAGAGAUAGGGUUUCACCAUCUUAUCCAGAUUGGUCUCAAAGUCCUGGGCUCAAGCAAUCCUCCUGCC